UGCCAAGCGCGUCUUCAUUAAUCAAGAACGAAAGUCAGAGGUUCGAAGGCGAUCAGAUACCGCCCUAGUUCUGACCGUAAACGAUGCCAACUAGCGAUCCGCCGGUGGCUCUAAGGCCCUGGUGGGGAGCUUCCCGGAAACGAAAGUCUUCCGGUUCCGGGGGAAGUAUGGUUGCAAAGCUGAAACUUAAAGGAAUUGACGGAAGGGCACCACCAGGAGUGGAGCCUGCGGCUUAAUUUGACUCAACACGGGAAAACUCACCCGGCCCGGACACCGUGAGGAUUGACAGAUUGAUAGCUUUUUCAUGAUUCGGUGGUUGGUGGUGCAUGGCCGUUCUUAGUUCGUGGAUCGAUUUGUCUGGUUUAUUCCGAUAACGAGCGAGACUCCAGCCUACUAAAUAGUGCGGGCAUUGCUACUGUGCCAGGCACUUCUUAGAGGGAUUGGCUGCGUCUAGCGGCACGAAACGGAGCAAUAACAGGUCUGUGAUGCCCUUAGAUGUCCGGGGCUGCACGCGCGCUACACUGGCAAAGGCAGCGUGCUUGUCCGUCUCCGAAAGGAGCCGGUAAACCCUUGAAAAUUUGCCGUGAUUGGGAUCGGAAAUUGCAAUUAUUUUCCGUGAACGAGGAAUUCCUAGUAAGUGCGAGUCAUCAGCUCGCGUUGAUUACGUCCCUGCCCUUUGUACACACCGCCCGUCGCUGCCUAGAACUGAGCCAUUUCGAGAAUAUUCGGGAUCGCCGGUUGCGUGCUCUUCGGGGCAUGCCUCUGGCCUGAGAACGAACGUAAUCGCAGUGGCUUGAACCGGGCAAAAGU
rnacentral:rRNA from 1 species